rnacentral:rRNA from 1 species
UCAUUAGUUUUUUAAUUAAAGGCUUGUAUGAAAGGUUGGACAAAGAAUAAUCUGUUUCUAUUCUUAUUUUUGAAUUUAACUUUUAGGUGAAAAGGCUUAAAUAAAUUUAAGGGACGAUAAGACCCUAUAAAUCUUUAUAUUAAAUUAUUUUUAGUUGAUUAAUAUUGUAAAUAUAAUAAUAAAAUAUCAAAUAUUGUGUUGGGGCGACGAGAAUAUAAUAAAUUAACUGUUCUAAAAUUAAAACAAAAUUGUUUGUAAAAAUAAUAGAUCCUUUAUAAAGAGUAAAAGUUCAAGUUACUUUAGGGAUAACAGCGUUAUUUUUUUUGAGAGUUCUUAUCGAAAAAAAAGUUUGCGACCUCGAUGUUGAAUUAAAAUUUCUUUGCGGUGCAGUUGUUGCAAAAGAGAGUCUGUUCGACUUUUAAAUUUUU